rnacentral:piRNA from 1 species
UCUCACAAAUGUGUGUGUGCGUGUGCGU